CUAGCCCCCAAUUGCAUAGCCAUCCUUCACUUAAAAAUCGUACUCAUAAAUUAUUUAUUGAGUUACUUUAGGAUAAGAAUCAGACGAUUUGCGUCGAUCACAGACCCUAAUCGUCCAUUAAUGAUUUUCGUCUACCGGUGGUGGAAUCGUUCAUCGAUUCAUUCAGUACCAAUCACUGCUCCACACAAGGGACAAUUGCUCAAGGACUGUGAAGAUACUGUGUAUAUUUUACUUUUUCUUGGUCAUAUGUAAAUAUAUAAAUGUACAAUAUUAGAAGUAUAUCUUUAAUUUUCUGUGGCAGAACUAUUAUAAUAUUUAAUUU